rnacentral:lncRNA from 1 species
CCAAUUAAACAAACGUUAACUAAGAAACAAUUACAGAAAAUUCAAACUGCCAUAUUGGAACGUAUGCAAUUAAUCACCAACAAUAUAACUUCAAAAUUUAAUUUUGAACUUCAAAACUGUCUGAAUUGAACUCAUACCUGCAAGAUUAAUUGACAACGCUCACUACUAUAUAAAGAAAUCAAUUUCAAGAGAAAUCACAUAAAAAUUAGUUAAGCAAAAAUGGCUUCUUACUCACAAAAAACGAUCUUCAUCGCUCUCAUUCUCGCUAUGGCAGCUCCAAUUUCAACAAGCCACAGAAGAAGAUGGCGAAGAUCUGAUCGAGGGUGGAACUCGGAACAAUACCUGAGAGAUCUCUGCUCCGAAACUGACAGAUCAGACGUGUGCUGGAACAUCCUUAGAUCGGAGUUACACCGAUUCGACAACGGCGACAUCGCCGCCGGCGUGAUUGACCUGGCGGUGGCAAAAUCAAAGGCAAUCGGCGACCAGCUCAACCAGUGGUACAGAGAUUCCAACGACGACAGGAUGAAGAACAAGUACCACUCGUGCUCCAAGAAUUACGAUGACGUCGAUCGCAACCUUGAACAGGCCCAGAGGAACUUAGAUUCCGACGAUAAUCGAAGAAUCUCGGAUCAAAUCGACGACGCUGAAGAGGAAUUGGAAGAGUGCAGGAGAGAAUUCGGGUCGGGUUCCUUCGAUCCGGGUCAUGUUGAAGACCGGAACAAUGAGCUUCGACUUUACUUGGAUAUGGUUAGAGUUGCGGUAAACCGUUUGGAAGAUUACUACGAUAGCGACCGCCAUUAAAAUUAUAUGAUAAGUAUUAUGAAUCGGAAUCAAGAUUAGCUAAGUUGGAUAAAUUGUUAUUCGAGUACUAAUGUCUUAUUGAUUUUGAAUUAAGUAUUUUUCAAAUAAAAUACUGUCUCCA